rnacentral:rRNA from 1 species
UACGAAGGGUGCUAGCGUUGUUCGGAAUUACUGGGCGUAAAGCGCACGUAGGCGGAUCGAUCAGUCAGGGGUGAAAUCCCAGGGCUCAACCCUGGAACUGCCUUUGAUACUGUCGAUCUGGAGUAUGGAAGAGGUGAGUGGAAUUCCGAGUGUAGAGGUGAAAUUCGUAGAUAUUCGGAGGAACACCAGUGGCGAAGGCGGCUCACUGGUCCAUUACUGACGCUGAGGUGCGAAAGCGUGGGGAGCAAACAGG